CAAUAGCGUAUAUUAAAGUUGUUGCAAUUAAAAAGCUCGUAGUUGGAUUUCUGGUGGGAGCGAUCGGUCUGGCGCUUAGCGCGAGUACUUGCAUCGUCUCCGGCCAUCCUUGGGGAGAGUCUGUCUGGCAUUAGGUUGUCGGGCAGAGGAUCCUCAUCGUUUACUGUGAAAAAAUUAGAGUGUUCAAAGCAGGCUUAUGCCGUUGAAUAUAUUAGCAUGGAAUAAUAAGAUAGGACUUUGGUACUAUUUUGUUGGUUUGCGCACCAAAGUAAUGAUUAAUAGGGACAGUUGGGGGUAUUCGUAUUCCGUUGUCAGAGGUGAAAUUCUUGGAUUUACGGAAGACGAACUACUGCGAAAGCAUUUACCAAGGAUGUUUUCAUUAA
rnacentral:rRNA from 1 species